rnacentral:rRNA from 1 species
AUUGAACGCUGGCGGCAUGCCUUACACAUGCAAGUCGAACGGUAGAGGGGCAACCCUUGAGAGUGGCGAACGGGUGAGUAAUGCAUCGGAACGUGCCCAGUCGUGGGGGAUAACACUUCGAAAGAAGUGCUAAUACCGCAUACGACCUGAGGGUGAAAGCGGGGGACCGAAAGGCCUCGCGCGAUUGGAGCGGCCGAUGUCAGAUUAGGUAGUUGGUGGGGUAAAAGCUCACCAAGCCAACGAUCUGUAGCUGGUCUGAGAGGACGACCAGCCACACUGGGACUGAGACACGGCCCAGACUCCUACGGGAGGCAGCAGUGGGGAAUUUUGGACAAUGGGCGCAAGCCUGAUCCAGCCAUGCCGCGUGAGUGAAGAAGGCCUUCGGUUGUAAGACUCUUCGGUACGGAACGAAAUACGCUCGGGUGAAUAAUACCGGGUGGAUGACGGUACUGUAAGAAGAAGCACCGGCUAACUACGUGCCAGCAGCCGCGGUAAGU